CUGCAGCCUGUAUAUCGCCUUUUCCUCACUCUUGCUGCAUAGUAGGCUGGUAACAUUUCAGAUUAUGCUAGCUGGUGUUGCCAUUAGCCAACAUACACCAGGGACUGAAAAAUAUGGCAACCACUGGAACCGCUGAACCAGGCUGCCGGUUUCGGACACUACAUACUCCUGUUCACCUGAAGAGUUUGUUCAAACUGUUCAAAGCUGGUACCAAAUGCUGUUAAGCUGCCGCGUUAUUCAUGCAUUGACUGAAAGAAGGAACAACUUCUGAUGUACCUGAUGCAUUGAUUGCAACAUCUAGUAAGACUGUAAAAUAAUCACAAUAUUCACUCUUGCUCACCUGAGUUUAUCUUCCAGUCAGCCAAAGAUCAUCUGCACAUGGCCGCCCGUUUGAAACUUUGGUUGCAAGAUGAACAUUAGGAGUUUGGUUAUUUGAUCAUCAACUGAUGAUACUACAGCAGAUCGAAUAAACUGUUCAUGCCAAGAUUUUACAAGCAAAUCAAAUCGGUUUCGAGGUCAUGCCCAUGGGCCCAUGGCAACCAAAUGGACAAUUCACAAUUGGAGUAGCAAUCGGUUUGCGGAUGCCUGGCUCGGUCGGUCUUCCCUCUCUGUCUCUCUCGCCGUUCCCCCAAUCCCCACCCAAACCAAAUCAUCGCCUCGGCCGACCGCGUUCACGCCAUUGCCAUGGCGCGGCCGCCGGAUCUGAUCGACGACGCCACCACCGAGAUCCUCCUCCGCCUCCCGCCGGACGACCCGGCGUGCCUCGUGCGCGCCUCCCUCGUCUGCAAGGCCUGGCGCGAGCUCCUCUCCGGCCCCGCCUUCCUCCGCCGCUACCGCGCGUUCCACGGCGCGCCGCCCCUGCUCGGCUUCCUCCGCAACAUCUACGACGAGGGCCCCCGCGCUCGAUUCGUCGUCGCCGCCGCCACCGGCAGCGCCUCCCCCUUCUCCGCGCCGGCGUUCGACCGCCCCAACUGGUGGGUCGUCGAGUGUCGCCACGGGCGCGCGCUGCUCCAAUCCUUCGAGCAGCAUGAGCCACGGCGCCUCGUCGUCUGGGACCCCAUCACCGGCGACCAGCAGCACGUGCCCGUGCCCGAUUACCCUUACUUCUGCCGCACCGCGGCGGUGCUCUGCGCCGCGGACGGCUGCGGCCACCUCGACUGCCACGGCGGCCCGUUCCUCGUCGUCGUCAUCGGCGCCUACGACGACGGGGAUCUCAGUUGGGCGAGCGUGUACUCAUCCGAGACUGGCGCAUGGACCACGUCGUCCUCCAUUCGACUUGACGCCUACAUCGAGGAGAGGCCCAGUCUCCUUGCCGGAGACGCGCUCUACUUUAGCAUUCUACAAGGCAACAGAAGUCGAAUUCUCAAGUAUGACUUGGUUGGGCGGGGUCUCCAACUUAUCAACGUGCCGGACAUGUAUGAGGAGACGGAUAGCAUUGUUGUGACCUCCGAGGACGGCGGUCUAGGACUCGCCGGGGUGAAGGAUGGUAAUCUCCACCUGUGGACAUGGCAGGCUGGCCCUCAAGGCGUUGCAGAAUGGGUGCAAGGCAGGAUGUCAUGCCCAAGUCAGGGCAGGUGAAGAAGGUCGGGGAGAGAGGGUCCUACACCUACUGCACCAUUGCACCGUACGUGAGCUUCUACACUCCAGAUCUUGCUAAGGGCAGAUUGCUACCACCGUGAAGAUCCAAUGAUCCAUCCACAUGAUACUGGAACUGCUGACUUUUCAAGGAGAUGAUAAUUCAAGUGUUCUGUUUUCAAUUUGGAUAGAGGAAAAAAUAGGUUACCAUGUUCAAUUAGAAAGGUUUAGUUUAUUAGCUGUGCAGUUUAACUAAGAAAACUAGAGAUGUGGGUUCCGGACAUCUGAACUCAAGUGACUGAUUUUUACCGGAGACUUUUCUGAAUGACAGAGCCCUCGGACACAGACUUGUGUGCGCGCGUUAAGGAGAA